AUUGAACGCUUGAGGCAGGCCUAACACAUGCAAGUCGAACGAGUGGCGGACGGGUGAGUAAUGUCUGGGAAACUGCCUGCUGGAGGGGGAUUACUACUGGAAACGGUAGCUAAUACCGCAUACCAUCGGAUGUGCCCAGAUGGGAUUAGCUAGUAGGUGGGGUAAAGGCUCACCUAGGCGACGAUCCCUAGCUGGUCUGAGAGGAUGACCAGCCGCACUGGAACUGGGACACGGUCCAGACUCCUACGGGAGGCAGCAGUUGGGAAUAUUGGAGAAUGGGCGCAAGCCUGAUGCAGCCAUGCCGCUUGUAUGAAGAAGGCCUUCGGGUUAUAAAGUACUUUCAGCGGGGAGGCGUUACCCGCAAAAGAAGCACCGGCUAACUCCGUGCCAGCAGCCGCGGUAAUAC
rnacentral:rRNA from 1 species